CAGCCGCCGCGGUAAUACAGAGGGUGCGAGCGUUAAUCGGAUUUACUGGGCGUAAAGCGUGCGUAGGCGGCUUCUUAAGUCGGAUGUGAAAUCCCUGAGCUUAACUUAGGAAUUGCAUUCGAUACUGGGAAGCUAGAGUAUGGGAGAGGAUGGUAGAAUUCCAGGUGUAGCGGUGAAAUGCGUAGAGAUCUGGAGGAAUACCGAUGGCGAAGGCAGCCAUCUGGCCUAAUACUGACGCUGAGGUACGAAAGCAUGGGGAGCAAACAGGAUUAGAUACCCUAGUAGUCCCUGUCUCUUAUAC
rnacentral:rRNA from 1 species